CACGUAGGGGGCAAGCGUUGUCCGGAUUUAUUGGGCGUAAAGAGCUCGUAGGCGGUUGGGCAAGUCACGUGUGAAAUCUCCACGCUCAACGUGGAGGCGCCACGUGAGACUGCCCUGACUCGAGUCCGGUAGGGGAGCGUGGAAUUCCCGGUGUAGCGGUGAAAUGCGCAGAGAUCGGGAGGAACACCCGUAGCGAAGGCGGCGCUCUGGGCCGGUACUGACGCUGAGGAGCGAAAGCGUGGGGAGCAAACAGG
rnacentral:rRNA from 1 species